UACGUAGGGGGCAAGCGUUGUCCGGAUUUAUUGGGCGUAAAGAGCUCGUAGGCGGUUUGGUAAGUCGGAUGUGAAAUCUCCAGGCUCAACCUGGAGGGGUCAUUCGAUACUGCCAUGACUAGAGUUCGGUAGGGGAGUGUGGAAUUCCUGGUGGAGCGGUGAAAUGCGCAGAGAUCAGGAGGAACACCAAUGGCGAAGGCAGCUCACUGGGACGGUAUUGACGCUGAGACGCGAAAGCGUGGGGAGCGAACAGG
rnacentral:rRNA from 1 species